UACGUAGGGGGCAAGCGUUAUCCAGAUUUACUGGGUGUAAAGGGAGCGUAGACGGCAAUACAAGUCGGAAGUGAAAUACCCGGGCUCAACCUGGGAACUGCUUUGGAAACUGUAUGGCUGGAGUGCUGGAGAGGUAAGCGGAAUUCCUAGUGUAGCGGUGAAAUGCGUAGAUAUUAGGAGGAACACCAGUGGCGAAGGCGGCUUACUGGACAGUAACUGACGUUGAGGCUCGAAAGCGUGGGGAGCAAACAGG
rnacentral:rRNA from 1 species